CUAAGAAAACGGCGAAAGCUUGUUCGAAUUUACGACAUAAAAAAUGUAAAACUGUGUGUGUGUAGUGUGCUUGUGUGUGUACUAUACUGAUAUAGCAGUAGUGGUGGUGGUGGUUUGUCAGUCAGCAGUAGUGUUUGUCUGUGGCAGUGCUGCUGCUGCUGCUGCUAUUGUUUACUUGCUGUUGUUGUGUGUUGUUGUACACACACACCCACACAAUUCUGUGUGCAGUUGUCGUAUGUUUUCGAAAGGGAAUCCGGUUGAUAUUCCGGAACCGAGUAACGGAGACAAAGAGUAGCGCUUUAAUCUUCCGGUUGGCGUUCAACUCAAUCGCGCGGUAACGCAAGCGAACUCGGAAAAUGACCGUCGUGAGUUUCGAAAAGAGUUUUCUUUUCUUUUUAAGGGACGCAUUCCCUGGAACCGGGUUGUCCGGAGAUAGGGAUUCUGGUAUCCAUAAAACGCCGA
rnacentral:rRNA from 1 species